UAGCUGAUAAACUUCCAAAAGAACCGACAACGAAUACGACAGUGUCGAUAACUGCUGAACCUACAGAAAAACCGACAACAAAUACGAAAGUGUCGAUAACUGAUGAACCUACAGAAGAACCAACAACAAAUACGACAGUGUCAAUAACUGAUGAGCCUACAGAAAUACCGACAACAAAUACGACAGUCUCGAUAUCUGAUGAACCUACAAAUAAAUCGACAACAAAUACGACAUUGUCGAUAA